rnacentral:lncRNA from 1 species
AAAAAUAUAUUGGUACUGGCAGCUUGCGGUGGCAGUACUUACUACAGGAUUUUACAGGGAGCAUCUUUUACUUUUGGUUGUGAGCAUAGCCUUUAGCAGCUAAGCCAUCUCUCCAAGCCCACAGGAAGCAUCUUUUAAGAAGGUCAGUCCAUUAAUUCUUACGUAUGUCAGUGUUUGCUUGUGCACAUGGGGUGCCUGCCCUGCUGGGGUCAGAAGAGGGCAUUGAAUCCCCGGGAAAUGGAGUUAGGCAUGGGUGUGAGCCACCUUGUGGGUGCUGGGAGCCAAAUCUGUGUCUACCUGCAUUAGAACCACAGGAAGACCAGAGUAGACAGUAGAACAUUCGGAACCAUCCUUGUGUAUUUUUAAGCUCCUAUCUUCUCAUGCGUCCUAGAUGGGCCUCAUUAAUGUCCUGUGGAGAUGAGAGUGAUCUUGAACUCUGGGUGUUAGCUCCCCCGGCCCUUCUUUUUAUUUCUCAGGAACUCAGAGAUCCGCCUGCCUCUGCCUCCCGAGUGCUGGGAUUAAAGGCGUGUGCCACCACACCCGGCUGCAGGCUCCCUUUUUAAGGCAACAUUUAAAACUAAUGAUCUUAUUAAAGUGAUAAUAAAUGGCUAGGUAGAUUAGGUAUUUUUGAAAUUGUGUAGUUUGUGACAGUGGUGGCUUCUUGUAUGUACUUUCAUGUGGUUCAUUUCCUCAGUUGGGCAGUGUGCUGUAAGGUGGUAUAAGGUUUGUCCAGAAGGGCCUGAUACUGACAACAGUAUACAGUGUCUGCAUUUAGUAAAGAGACUGUAGAUACACCAGCACACAUUGAGUGACUAUUUGAAGAUGUAGUUGCGGGGCCAGUGAAAGUAGAAGUGUCAGGGAGUUGUGAUGAGAAGGAGACACAGAGGAGGAGCUGGCCAGAUCUGUCCAGGAGAAAAUCCUUGUGGCCUCCAAACUUAAGUAUAAACCCUGGAUCUGAACUCCAGUCCAUUCUGGUCCUCGUAGGGCUAACGAAGACAGUUUGUUGGUCUCUAGGAUUUGUGUGCGGGAAUUCUGCUUUCUGUACCCAGCACAUUCAGUGUGGAACCAAUGUACCUUUUCACCCUUUACUCUUCCCUUUAUGGCUUGAACUGAAAUGCUGUUGCUGGUGAGCUGAAAGAGCCCGUGGUUGCUCUGUCUUCCUUUUAGUCCCUCCCUUACGUUUCUGCUACCGUGGUCUGAGAAUACCGACACUGCCGUGUCCUCUGCUUAAAACCAGUUCUUCAUUGAUUACUGAAUGAAGUCCUGACUCCCAGUCGCACUGUCUUGAUUCAGUCAUUCUGGCUUCAGACUUGGUGAAGCCAUAGAUACAUCAGCUCUUUGUUCAGAGUGCUUAUACUUUCUUCAGCCUUCUCUAUAUGAAAACAAAACAUGUAUUUUCAAAGCCACAUCCCAAGAAAAGUGGUUCUUGGCCUCUUUUUCCUUUAGCACUUUUACCAGUAUUUUUCUUUAUAGGACUUUUUUUUUUUAAAUAGACUUAAUUCACUUUAUUUUUCUUGUAUAAAAACCCUCAUAUGAUAGCCACAGAUGGAACCUGGGUCCUCUGAACAGAUACUCCAGUGUGGGUUUUCACAAGGUGGCCAGUGAAUUCCUGAUAAAGAGACUUGAAUAACAAAGUUUCUUUCCAGAGGUCAGGGGUCAGGUAGCUGUAGGUCUUGGAGGUUGCACCACUGGUGGCCUUGGCAGUGUUAUCCAGGGUGGCAGUGCAGCCCCUGGCUGAUUAAUGGCACUUAUCAAUAUUGGCCAUCAUUAGUAGUUUUUUGGGCACAGGAGCAGAGACAAUGCCAGUGCUUCUGGGGGCAGAAAUAAGAUGCACCAGCACAGAGCCACAGUGGCCUGUCACCUUGCAUGGGACAUUGUGGGGCUUGCUAGUCUUGUUCCCCAGUAGCCUCUCCAAAUAGGGACAAUGGAGAGCUUGGCCAAGAUGGCGGCCCCUAGAUGGCUGUGGGUUCCUCCUUGGAGCAUGGAACACCAAGACCAACAUGACCAUUGUAGUUCCCAGUAGUGUCAAAAGCCUUGAACCUGUCCACCGGCCGCCAAGCGUCUGUUUCUGUAUGAGCAGGGUUUUAGAACCUCCCUUGAGGGAGGGAUGUGCUCAGGGAAGAUGAGUAGUCUGGGAGCUCCACGACUUGGUCCUCAUGUCCUUACCUUGGUGACGGGGACCCACUCCUUGUCUUGGCUUUGCCUCCAAGAGCUCCCUGGCCUCGUCUGAUCACAGCCCCCACGGCUGCCAGAUCACUGCCUCCACCUCUUACUCCUGGCCCCAGGUCCUCCAUGCCUCCUGGGGUUCCAGGAUCAUCUCCAUUUCCCGAAUAAGAGGCUGCCUUUCUAGGACCUUUAUUUUAAUUCACUCUGUUUUGUAUUGAUUAUUUUGGUUGUUGAAUUAAAAGUUCUUAACUAGACAGGAACCUUGACCUUUUUGUCUCUGUGACUCUAUUGAAAUGGAUGCUUAUUUUGAACUGUAACAGUAUUUUUUAUCUAACAGUUAAAAUCCUUCAGGUUGCCACACUGAACUAACUUUAAGUUUGUGGGGCUUUGGGAAGUGUAGGGAGCAGGGAAAGGCUGGUGAUUCUUGGUGUUUGUUUUUGUUUUGCUUUGUUUUGUUGGGGGGUG